ACGUGAACGAUGAUUUCUCACUGCAGCUGAGGAAAGAGCUGGAGGGAGGCAACACUCAGAAGAGCUGAACUAUUUCCCCAUCCAUAUCAAAGCUGUAGUAAACUUUAUCUUCGAUCAGGCACUGUGUGGCCGUUGCUCUCUGAACCUGCGAUACUUCCCUAGCAAUAUCAAGCUCUGAUACUUAUCUUCGUUUCAGCACUGUGUAUCAGACUUCGUACCGUACUGCAUGUAGUUAUUGGCUGCGAGCAGCACAACUUGUCGAACAGUGAUACUCCCUCCAUUCCUAAAUAUAUCUCUUUCUAGAGAUUCCAACAAGCGACUACUUACGGAGAAAAAUGAAUGAAUCUAUACUCUAAAAUAUGUCUAUAUACAUCUGAUGGUUCAUUUAAUUUUUUUAAAAAGGAUCCAUUUAAAAUCUUAAAAAAAACAAAUAUUUAGAAACAGAGCACCAGUAUCGCAAUUACCCGAAAGCCGUAUGGUCUGGUCCCGGCACUGCGGUAGCCGUCUAUUAACCGACUAGAUGACCUGGUUUGAUGACCAGGGCACCCUUAAGCGAAUUAGAAAGAAUGUUAGUAGUGAGUAAGUAGGAGAUGUAACUGGAAAUAUAAUACAAUAUGGAUUGUAUUACAUCAUGUAUUAACCAUAAAUCAUGAAAUCAAUACCAGAGAACCAAAUAAUGUCACCACCUCUGUACUAACAACCAACAUUUUAGCAUAAGGAGUAUCACAGGAAUGUUUACUUGCAUAUCAGGAGUAUCACAAUUACAACUAAAGAGGCAUUGUCCUUGCUACUGUCCCUGAGCCCUUCACAGGGAGAGUUUCAAGCCUCGCAACUUCUUCCUCUGACCCUCAGUUACGAACCUCAUCCCUUAGCUAUGAUUAUUUUCAAGAUGAAAUCAACAUGCUAUUUCUCUCACAUGGAACAUGUCCAGAAUUUAGUCUGUCUCACUAAUCUUUCAGCUACAAAGGCAGAAAGAAAAAUGGCAUGAUCAAUAACAAAAAAAAACUGGAACAGUAAUGCUUGUAGCGAAAGUGAAUUGAGGACAACAAAACAAUUAUUUGUAACAACGGCAAGCUUGGCUGAUGCAAAAUGAUCACUCUGAAACUAUAUCUUUAGAACCAAAUUAAAAAGGAACAAAAUAAUCUAAUACUCCCUCCGUUUCAAAAUAACUGUCUCAACUUUGUACAAAAACAUCAUGUAUCUUUAGGACCAAUUUUUAGACCAUGGUACCACAUAAAUCAAGAAUUAGACAUGUCAGAUUGCAACGUAUUUAUGGUCAGUUACCAAUCAUGUCACACCAAAGAUUUGCACAUAUAACCUGAAAUAACUGCAGCUAGCUUGAAGUCUGAAAUCUACCGGGUGACAGACAAAAGCAAUACCACCAAACCUUAUUCUUAUUGGACGAGCACAAGACUUACGAGAAGAUAACACACACAAAAUCCUAUUUGGUUUCUGGAUGCAUGCACUUUCUGGAUUGUGCACAUCAAAGCAUGGAAGAACAUUUCUAGGAGAGCCAUUGUAGCACAACGAAGUAAACCAAAAAUCAAAAAAGAGAAGUGAGUUUGUAUCUUGUAAUUUAGCAAUGUAUCAGCCCAUAUCACCAUUUAUUUUUCAGAGACCAAAGAAAAUGACAGAAGUUUCCCUAUUCUUUCAUGUACCUUUCGACCAGAAUACUCUCUAUUUACGAGCGCCACACAAACUAUUUCCUCUUGGCGGCAGGUUGGACACAGCAAUCCUCACCGCGAGCUGCAGAAGAACCACACACGCACAUACAUCAGGCCAGGAGACACGAACACGGGUGCCAUGAGGGGGGAACGGAACGGACCGGAAAUGAGCAGGCAGGAAAAUGAACGGAGGUUUGUGGACUACCUCUUCACGCCACGCCAUAUCCUCAUCCCUAGCGCUUGGCCUACAUUAUGCCGUCUACAUAUCUAUCUCCUUUGACUACCUCUUCCCGCAACGCCGUGUGCAUACCUUGUCCUACACCGGUUGGUAGUCUCACCCUUGCAUUGUGCAGCUAUAGCUGUCCAGCUAAUAAAUGGAAGGAACCAAUUUCAUCAGCUUGAGAAGGCCUGCUGCAGGUGACAAUAAUUCAUACUUAUUAACACCAUGGUGUGAACUUUUAUCACAAAGCAAAUAGGUGGAAGCAUAAGGAAGCAAUUCAACAACUUUUGCAGAGGCACUCAUGGGAUAAAAUCCAAAACAUCAAAAUUAGUCUGUUAUGUUUUUGGGAGAUAUAUAGGACUCAAGAAACUGAGAAACAUCAAAAGUAGUCUGCUAUUCAAAUACAGAACUCUAGAUAUUACACAUUCACUUAAGGCGUCACUGAUUGAGAACAGUUUUUGGAUCUCUCACCAGCUAGUAUGCAGGGUUCGUACGCCAAGUGAUACUGAUGAUUACAACCAAUCAACCUAAUAGCUAACACAUGAAUAAUUAUAUUAAACCAUACUGGUUAAUAUCACCAAUUCAGGAUAGUACACGACAAGACAGAAGUAUUCUAAAUACCAGACACAAACAAGUGCAGCCUCUCUAAAUUUUAUCAGAAGGCUGGUACAAAUUACAAACAAGGAAAAGCUGGUUGACAUAUAUGGCUAUCAUGCAUUUUCUGAAACAUGCUUUCAUGGUUGACCACAAUAAGUUUCAAAUGCUUUCUUCUUUCUAUUCGGGGUCAAUUGGAAGCAUUCAACAAUCAAACAAAUGCGAAAAAGGUACAUAAGCUUCAUUCCAAAUGUAAUACAUGUAUAUUGGAGCUAUAAAGAAGGCUAUAUCGUCAUUUUACAUGACUCAGGCCUCAAAACAACUUUACUUGCCAGUGUGCCAAGCAUCUAUCAGUAAUAUUUCCAAACUGCGACUGUGGUUGCCGUGGCUAUGCCCUAGCUCUCCCUCUACCCUAGCUCUCUCUCUCUGUCACCUCGCCUUAGACCAAACCGAAGCAAGGAAGAAGAAGACACAAAGAAAAGGGGGACACGGUGGAGUUCCGGCGCACGAACGCCUUUGUUUUUCCCUCGAGCACGAACUCGAGCUCACUCCACACCAUUACAACGAUCGCCGCGGCGACUCUUAUACCAGGACAACGCCGGGCCACGACCUGCACGUACCUGCCCACUACGCCACCCGGUCCGGCCCGCUCGACGCGCUCCCCGCGCCAAGCCCUCAACAGACCGGCGUGCACACCGCGUCCCCCGAAUCGCCAACAGCUAUGCCGCGCACACGCCCGUGCGGUGUUCACCUGCGUGGACACACCCACGCACCACACGCACACCUACACGCACGCCAACCCCGCGGACCCGGUGCACCCGACGCGUCCGGCUCGCGCCCAUACACGCGCCAGUCGAGCCCAGUGCACCGCCGCGGCUUAUUCACCAAACACUCGCGCCCUAAGCCGCGGCUCAGAGCAGCCCGGCGUCCUCGACGUCGUCCACGAGCAGGGCUCGCUCCGCCGCCGGUGCCUUCUUGAGCUGCGGGCACUCGCGCUUGAAAUGCCCCCGUUCGCCGCACUUGUAGCAGCGACCGCGCCGAUUCCCGCCGAAGCCCAACGCCUCGCUGCGCACGUCGUCGUCGUCCCGUGCACCACCUCGUCGCUGCUCCCGCGCCCGCCAUUGCGCCGCCGUGUACAGCAGCUCGCCGUCAGGUCGCUCGCCGCCCGCCUGAUCGCGUCGUCGCAGCCGCUCGUCAAAUGCCUUCAGCCGCCCCAACGCGUCCUCGAACAGCAUCGUGCUGACGUCGCAGAACUGCUCGAUCCCUGCCACCGCCGCGUACAGGCGGUUCGGCACCGAGUCGAGCAGCUUCUUGACAAGCGCCGCGUCCUCCAGGGUCGAGCCCAGCGCCGCGUAGCGCGCCGCCAUGCCACCAAGCCUCCCGGCGAACGCGUCCAGGGACUCUGACUCCGCCAUGCGCAGGAGCUCAAAUCCCCCACGGAGCGUGAUGAGCCGCGCCGCGCGCACGCGGUCCGCGCCCACAAACCUGGCCUUCAAACUCGCCCAUACCUCGGCCGCCGUCUUCUUCGACGCCACCUGCAGCAGCAGGUCCUCGGCGAGUGCACCGAGCAGGUAGGCGCGCGCGGGCUUGUCCUUCUUCGCGAUGACGGCCGCCGCCGCGUCCUCCGGCCCCACCACCGCCUCCCACAGCCCGGCCGCAUCAAGGUUUGCCUCCACCUUGAUCGACCACGCCGUGUAGUUGUCGCCGGUGAGCAGUGGCACCGACUGCGGCAGCGACCCGCCUGUUCCGCCGGCGUACGGGACGAUCGACAUCGCCGGCGCGCCCUGAACAGAACGCCUUUGUUUUUCCCUCGAGCUCGAACUCGAGCUCACUCCACACCAUUACAACGAUCGCCGCGGCGACUCUUAUACCUGGACAACGCCGGGCCACGACCCGCACGUACCUGCCCACGACCCGCACGUACCUGCCCACUACGCCACCCGGUCCAGCCCGCUCGACGCGCGCGCUCCCUGCGCCAAGCCCUCAACAGACCGGCGUGCACACCGCGUCCCCCGGAUCGCCAACGGCUAUGCCGCGCACACGCCCGUGCGGUGUUCACCUGCGUGGACACACCCACGCACCACACGCACACCUACACGCACGCCAACCCCCCGGACCCGGUGCACCCGACGCGUCCGGCUCGCGCCCAUACACGCGCCAGUCGAGCACAGUGCACCGCCGCGGCUUAUUCACCCAACAGCGACAGUAAACACAUCGCAAUGUGAAGCAUGGCAGUGUCAAAAUAACCAAGAUAUUAUAACAUGCUCUCAAACCCGAAAAAUGCAAUAAUAAGACUACAUAAGAGACCUAAUUGCUUAGAAUAACACUUUAGUAUCACCAUCUAAAAUAGUACGUCAUCAUAAAUGAUCUAUCCUCUCAUCAGUAUGUACUAUACCAUCUGCCAUGGCUGGAAAAGACCAUACGCAUCAUAAUCAAUCACCUGGAGGUAAGCUGCAUGCAAAUAGUCCAGACAUCUCUCUUGGUGUUGCUCGUGAUCAACACAAGAUGUACCGGGAGUAGUCGCUACUGCCACAUCAAAAUUAAGAAUCAAUUAACUAUAAAACACCUCUAAUCACUCCAACAAUGCUUAGCUGAUGGAGUUAGAACCACCCAAGGAGAAGAAUCUAGCAGCAGGGAUCUCUCACCUUGAGAUGUUACGGCAGUGCAGAGUGGGUAAAGGCUAUGCAACAUUGGCCCUUUGAAGAUCCUGGCCAUGACGUUACUCAUCCACUUUCAUGAGAAAUUUCUUGAGCAUCUUGCUGGAACCCUACCAGUGGGACGACACCGCCGGCAACAAGUUAACCCAUCUCUGCUAGUGAAAAAUAAAAGGAAUAAGAGACCUGCGGUCAGGUGCACAAAUAGCUAAUCAGAAAGUGAGGCAAAGAGAGUAGAAAUGAGUGGUGAAUAUCUGUAGGGCAUCAUUUCAUGCGAAAUAUAUCAAAAUAGAAACAAACUGUCAUUGUUGGAUUUAGCAACCGGUAAAUUUAAUUAUUUUUGGUAAGCUACCGAUGGUAAUUACCAAGGGUGAUACAUCAAGUAUACUUAUAGUAGAAAAUGAGAGUAGGAAAGCCUGUAGGUACCAUACUAAAUAGAUGGUCUACUGUAAUCAACCAGGUAUAAACUGGGCAUCAAUGAUCUGCCACAUGAAAUAAGACAUUGAAAUGGCAGAAACAGAGUAUGUAUAAUUCGUAGAUGUUGAGGGCAGGGAAAAUAUAGUACACAUAAGAACACUUCUCAUGCAAAGAUCUAGACCGAAAAUAAAAAUAAAGGGAAAUCAGGGUAUACACCAGAGUAGGCCAUGAAAAAACACAAAGAAGAUCAGCAUCAAAUAGAACACACCUCGACCAAAGAAACGGCUGACCAACAGCAGGAACCGGAACGUCGCAGAUCCACCAACCUAGGAGAUCCUGGACGUUGCAGAAAAAAGGCAGAAAAUGUAAGCAGCAAAAUAGAUGCUGAUGAAAGGAAAUAAAGCAGGUGAGUUAACAUAAUUUUCAUAGUAAGCAGCAACCUAAGUGACAAAUAAAACCACAGAAGGACCGAGAAGAACGUACGUUAAACACAUGUUGUGGUCUCUUAUUUCUUUUAUUUUUUAGUGCCUACAAUAAAAAAAUGAUGGGACAAUACCUUAUAUUGCCUAGCAUGAGCGCAUAUAUCAAUGCUUGCAAUAAAAAAACGAUGCAACAUCAAAACAAAACAUUAGAAAGAUUGAGGAACCCAACUAUAACGAGAACACCUUGUGCCUGCAUUUCAUCAGAUAUGUAGUAUGUAUUUAAUUCAUACUUACAGUCCUGAAUGCCUCCUUUAUGUGGCCAUUCUCCACCCUCAAAUCCAUGUCCAAACCACCAAAAUCAGCAUCAUACACGUUCUUAUCCUAUAUGUUGUCUAUUCAGCAAGGAAAGAUCAUCCUAUUUUGAAACAAAAUGCAAUAAUUUGGAGCUAAAUCUUGGAUUCGCCAUUCUUUUCAGAGAAUGAAAGUACUGCAAACAAAUACAUUUAAUCCUAUAGAGAUCUUAAGAACACAUUAAUUUUUUCCAAGCAUGUAUGGUUUGAGCAGUGCGAUCGAGUAUAUGUUGCUUAUUCACCUUGGCUCCAUUGCUUGCUGCUCCAAGAAAAUGCAGCCCAUAUCCUUGCUGCUCCAAACCUGAGCAACCACCAAACCAGCCUCCUCCAGCCCCCAGCGCAUGGCACGCCCAAGAGCCCCAGCCUCCUCGCAGCUCCCGAUCCAGGAGCGGAUCGAGCCGCCGCCAACCGCCAGAUCUCGCCCGACCUCGCAGACGUAGGCCGACGCCGGCGUGAGACCUUCUCCCAUCAGCCCACACACCUCCAUCUCCUCUUUCCUCUCUCUUUCUCCCUCCUCUCCUUCCUUCUCUCUCUUCCUCUCAUCCUCUCUCUCCUACAGAGACGAGUGACGGCGACCAUGCGUGGGGGGCAGAGGAGGAGAGAAGUGGAGGGGAGGAGGCGGCGGCGCAGUGGCACAGAUCUUGGGGAGCUCGGGGGCGUGCGGCGGGCGGAGCUUGCCGGAACCGGCCGGCGUGGGUAGGGCGAUGGGGAAAGAGAGGGGUUAGCGAGAGAGAGAGAGAGAGGAGGGCGACGAGGAGGGGGAGGCGAGUGGGACGGGAGGCGGCGGCGAGGGUUUCUCCACGGGAUUGGCAAUUUAUACCCUGCACGUAAAAAGACCAAAAUGCCCUCGGCGGGGCACAAAAUUUACACGCGGUGGCAGCAAUACUGUUUAUAGCGAAUUAGGGGCGACGUGGAGGCCUUGGUUCUGCCUAUGACUUCUUGAAGGUUUAUAUGUUCAACUAGAUGACCCGUUGCGCCAAUGGCGCAAAAACCGAGAGCAAGCGAGCAUUCAAACCAUGGGUAUCACUUGAUAGCUUACAUUGGUUUUAUAAAGCAAGUUAUAUUAGCAAAUAUGCUCAUAGAUAUAUAGCUCUUGUCUCAUAAACCUUUGGCUGAUUCUUGUAUCUUCUGCCAGCAGGAAAGACAACGACAUGAAGACGGUAGGGUCACAUGUCCUAUCAAUAUCAAACAUGAUUUAAUUGUUUAAGCAAAUCUUCAUGAUGGGUGUGUUUGGUGAAUGUUGUUAGUGAAAGCAUAAAUGCCUUCCAUAUCAUUGAAUUUUAUGGUAUAUGACCUAUUACACACAUGGUGCGAGAAGCCUAUGAGGACCGAGUAUGAUGUGGUAAUUGAAGGAUAAUCAAAUGUAAUGAAACAAUAAGCACUACACUGUAAACCCCAUUUGCUAUAGUAUAAUAGGAUGAGAGGCACAUAAGUGCAGCUUGCUGCACCCCUACCGGGUGCAGCUUAUCCAACUCGGUAAUAAAGCCACUGGAGAAUUGCAUAUAAAAUAUAACAUAGCCUAAUACAACUAUGAGCUGACCCAAGAAUAUUUAGACAACUAUGAUGUGUCUCAGUUAUGAUGGGCCGUUGACCAAAGGGGUAUAGAAAUCCAGAUGAAAAGUGUAGUAACACACUCAAAUCAUAACACAGCAAGCAACAAUUCAAGUUCCGCCCAUAUUAAAACAACUUAAAGCAGGAUACACGAUAGGACACCUUUUGUGCUUGAUAGGUUUACAUGAUGGAAGCCAAAAAUGCAUUGGUUCAUGAUAGCAUACCAAAAGGAACGCAAGAUCGCAUUACAUGAUAACUUAUUUACAAUGCUUUUUAUGUAAAGCAUAGGAACAAACUAUGUACACAACAAUAUAAGACGUAUGGGGCAUGCCUUGAUGUGUGCUGGAUGGGAUCUUUUUCCUGAGUGAUCGACGCAAUGUCAUAUGACCUGUUGAAAAAUCACCGUCACCGUCGCUUGGCAAUCAGCGAGCUCACCUUAUGAAAGGUUAUGGACGGUGAGUGACAGCUGACGACCCGAGUCUCUUCAAAGACAGACGAAUACAUCCCUUUUUCUUGAUUCUGGCUGCUUUGACGAAUUGCGUCCAGUUUGUGUUGAUAGCCACUCUUUUAUCUUAACCUUAUAUUAAACAAAGUUGUUCCUGUAAACAUCCACAUGGGGUUAUGAUUCACAUGUUCUCAACGAUUGGGUUAAGCUUGAGAAAGAUCCUAGUGUAUGGAGCAGAGAAGUACUGCAGCGAGACAACAAACUGGAGUUAUUUAUGGUGGGUAGACAAAGUACAUCAUGGCGGCAUAGGACAAUAUGUAAUUUAAUUCUCACCAUUCUUUAUCCUGUACUACAUGUGUUGUUCAUCUUACAGACAUAGACCUUAAUGGCAGGUACCCUCGAAUGAACCAGUCGCUUAAGAAGACAGAUCUCAUCUGGAGAGAUGUCAAAUUCACUUGGAUACUUGCAUUGGAGUUCCAAGUGUUCCCUGUACUGUAUGUAUGCAUGACCCUAUAUUUCCAACAUAAUGACUAUUUAAUCCCAUAUAAAUUCCAUGGUUACGUAAUGUUGUAGGAACCGAUAGUUACCUUGUGUAACGGUCCUCUUAGUCUAUAUAUUUUUUGCAUUCCUAGUUGGACCUUUGGGUUUCCUGGCACGUUUGCGGCUCUCUAAAUAAUCAGUGAUACAAAGUGUUGGUCUGUUUCAUGGAUAACCAGCAGUCAUUGAACUGAAGAUUUAGGCUAAAAUGAAACAUCACGAAUUAAGUCCAUUAGGACUCUUAUUAUUCCUCUGUAAUAAAUUAGUAAUGUAGGGCCAUUGCAGUUUCAGAGGGCUACACUAAAUUUACCUGAUCCAUCGAAGCUCUUUUUUACUCUAAUAGCAGCAUGCAAUUAUCAUACGCAUAUGUUUCAGUUUCUCAUAGGAACAUGCCCAUUAAGCAAGGAAUAGCAAUGUACAUACUAAUCUAACAUGCUUCAUCCAUGAGCAGCCAAGCAGAAUAGAGGUGAAAUCAAUACCUUCAUCAUCAUUAACCUGUAUGGGAUCAUUGAUCCUUGCUCCUUUUAUCCUGCAGCCACCAUUUGAAUUUCAUUAGUAUCUGGAUCAGUCUGAUCACCAUAUAAUUCGGUUGAUAAUUCACUUGCUAGUACAAAUAAAAUAUAAAAUUGAUCUAAAAAUUUCGACUGAUUACAGUUCAGAGCACGUGUAUUUAUCAGAUCACACAAGUGUUCAGCGCAAUACAACCUUUCCAAAUCCACACAUAGCCCAAGGGAGGGAGGGACGGGGAGAGAGAGAGAGAGAGAGAGAGAGAGAGCAAGGUAACUAUUUUGACCUCCCAAAAUUUGUAGAUGAAAGCAUAACUGAAUUUACAUUUCCUAAUGUGGACCAAAAAAAUAUGAGAAUACCAAAAGGAUUACCAGUUCUUCAAUUUUCCAGUUUUUUUAAUAGACUAUGAAAAAAUAUACAAUGAGGAACAAAGAUUUGACUGCAUGCUAUAAAAAAUGAUCCCAAUUGAUCGGUGAAGAGGUGCUAAAAGCUCCAUAUUAAAAAAACAAGAGAAUGCUUGAUCUUAAUUAAUUUGUUCGUUCACAUGGCUGAAAAGUACAGGCGUCAGAGAUAAUUUGCUUAACAACACUUAAAUAGCAAUAGUAUCUUAGCACACCACUAAAUAGUUGUUUUGGAGAAUAAUUAUUCAUGUCAAUGACCUAUUCGUGAACUAAUAUGAAACAAAGGACAUGGUAUGUAUAUAGCUACAAAAUACUCAUGGAUUUGUUCGAAAUGUUCUAUCAAGAGAACCACUGGAAAAAAUUAUCUUAUUUGAUGGGGCUCUCACCAGAAUUUUAUUACCUCAAGCUGAACGGGGCACUCCACCAGGAUUUUAUGACCAUAUCAGGAAAUUCAUGUAAGUUCCAUCUUUACACUAAUGGAAUCAAAUGCCACCACAGAAAUUUGUCUGGUAUUACCCAAUUAGUAGUACUUUACAGAAGUAAAAAGUUCAAGAAACAACGAAAAUCCAUUUUGACAACUACGUACUACAUUUUAUUCUUUGACAAAAGUAAGAGAAAUAACUUGGCAUUAAUUAUCAUAGCUUUUGGAAAAUUAAAGAUUCGAGCCAGGAUGGGCUCCUUCAUUAAUUAGUGAAGACCAAAUAAGUAGUCUAAAGAAGUACUAUACACUAAAAACCUUACUGAUGAAAGGGCAACAAAUUAAACAUGAGCUGUGGCCAGCUCCCUGCAAUACGCAAGAGAGCUCUAGCAUGGCAUGCACGUGACAAUUUGUAAGCACCUACACGUGCUGCUAUGCCAAGUUAGAAAUGCCUAAAAAAAUCAUGAGUAGCCUAGCUUUAUUUUCAGUAGAAAGUUAAAAGUAGAACAUACAGAUCAAUAAAGGUUCCUUUGUUCAAAAUGCCCUUCUUCUUUGAGUUCCUAGUAGCCUGCAUCUAAUCAUUCCACUGAAAAUGAAAGCGAGCAUUAACAGGUAAGGUUCAUAAAAGUGGCCCUCAGAUAAGUAUAAAAAAUAAAAUUGAACACUAAUGCAUUGUAUUUUAUAUUUGACACCCGAACACAUUUUGUUAUUACAAAAUGAUAUGCCAUGCACCUAGAGCUUCAGGUCAAGUAUAGAUGAAAUAGGGUUCCCCAGAGAAGGGGGAAUUGUAUGUCCAAAAAGAUAAUGUAUGAUCAAGCAACCAUAAAUUGUGAUAAUUGCAGAAGAUGGAGAACAACCAAAUUAAUCUGGUCGGCGCCGUCAUGGUCAACCCUUUCAAUGGUGCUAUUGCAGUUACUACUUCGUCAAGUUGAAUUGUAGAAGGCAAAUUAUAUUCAAAUAAACCAGGGAACAUGUGGUAUAUUUUCUAUGGUCAUUUCCCACAGUACAGCAAGGAACCAAAUGAAAAAUGUAUAUUGAUCUUACUUUUGCAAUCCACACAAAUCAUUGGCAGAGAAAAAUCACUAAAACAAACUUGUUGCUUAUUAAGGAGCAGAUCAAGCAACCAUAAAUUAUGGUAAUUGCAGAAGAUGGAGAACAACCAAAUUAAUCUGGUUGGCGCCGUCGUGGUCAACCCUUUCAAUGGUGCUAUUGCAGUUACUACUUCGUCAAGUUGAAUUGUAGAAGGAAAAUUAUAUUCAAAUAAAAAAGGGAACAUGUGGUAUAUUUUCUAUGGUCAUUUCCCAUAGUACAGUCCAGGAACCAAAUGAAAAAUGUAUAUUGAUCUUACUUUUGCAAUCCACACAAAUCAUUGGUCGAGAAAAAUCACUAAGCCAAACUUGUUGCUUAUUAAGGAGCAGCUAGAACAAAUUCUCCAGUUCAUGGCUAGAGACCAGAUCAAAAAAAGCAGAGAAGAAUCGAUUAAUGAUUCAGGACAUACCUUGUUGACCGGUGUUGUCGUGGAUCGGAAAGCUCGCGUGCCUGUUGCCGGUGUAGCGGGGAAAAGCUCCUUACACGCUCUUGGAUCCAUCACACCUUGAGAGGCAUAACUUUGCUAUGCAGAGUGGCCAACAAAGCUGCAAUAAGUUGAUGUGCACGGAUCAUGUCAGCGAGAUGCUACAACAACAGAAGCAUGAGAGAAUCGAAAGCGUGGCUCACCUUGAGGUCCUCGUUGUCUCUGCAGUCCGUGCUCACAGGAGGCAUUCAGUGUUCCUCUGCGGCAGAGUCCUAGGGUGGUGUGACUUCCUGGAGAAUGGACAUCAUAACAUAGCAUCUAUACCAGCUUCUUGAUGCCAUAUCAAACUGGCGCGAGCUUGGCUGCAAGGGUCGGAAAACCCUCAACCUUACAAAACACAGUAAUUAUGCAGACAGAAAAAAACAUGUAUCAGCAACACAGAAGAACCCCAAAGAAGGCCCUCCAUCUUGAUGCUUCAGACAACUUGCUCUAGCUUGACCAUGUCAGCAUCAAGCAAAACUGAUGACCCUCUUUUCUUCUUCUCUCACCUCCUCACACAUCAAUAAUAUUGUAUUAACUUUUUAUUUAGAAAUGGGAAGCAUAAAGAAGCUCGACUAAUAACUUGAAAUAAAUAAGCGACAGCUAAUGAGGCAUACAACAAAGGCAAAAACUUCAUGUUUUGUAUGCCUUCUUUUUACUGAUGGUGAUGGUUACUUAAGUGUAUCCCUGAAUGAAAAAGCAAAUAAACAUAUGCCUUAUCAAUCAAAAUGUUACCGCCUAAACUAAUUAUCUAAACAAAAUCACCUCUAUCGAAAGUUCCCAAUGAUUAAUUCCCCUGUUCAAGAAUUUGUCCGAUUAACCAAUUACCUUGCCGAUUAAUCCCUACUCAUAAGGUCACCGGAAGUAAACUGAUAAAUCAUCCAAUUAAUUGAUUAAAUGGCCGAUUAAUUUGUAUUAGCCUAUUAAUCCUCCACUCGCCACCCAACCGAGCAGCUACCAGUUAACGAUUUCCUCAAUAAUGAUUAAUUCUAACAUGGAGGAGCAAUGCUGAAUUAGGAUCCCUUGAUUACCUACAGAGAAGCCCUCGGCUACGUAUGUUGCAUGUUCCCCCUGAUUAUCAUGCAUGGUUUUGCUUCCCUAAACGAAUUAUGACUCCUCUGGCAAUACAGAACUUGCAAGCUAAUUAUUUCUACCAUUAUUUGCCUCCUAAUGAUCCAUGAACCAAUGAAAUAUAUAUAGCACCCCGGUGGCACUUGGAGAUUCAAAGAUACACAUUUGGCCACUCCAAAGAGUAAUAGGUUUGUGGUUCAAAAUAAUUGUUGAUCAAUAAAAGCAUAAACUUGGUCAAGAAAAGAAAAAUGAUAAAUUGUCUAUCUGAACCAUACAACCAUUGCAACUCAAAAGGAUGCAGCAUUGCCGGUGAAAAUAAAAUACACAAACUUGAUUGAUAAUCAGCUGUUGAGCCAUUGGCGCUCAAAUCGCUCGCCACCGCUAGCACGCUUGAUUUCGCAACCUGUGAAGAACGAUAGAAAUGCUAUAACAACAAUUGAAACUAUUGGCCUAAGAACAGUCAGUCAGCACCUUUGAGCUCCUCAAUGAAGCUGUUACAUAAGAAGUCAAUCAUACUGGAUACUGUUCCUGUCUUUUUAGAAAACAAAAAAAGCCGACUGUUCCUAUCAGUAUAACCAUCAAAUAUCUGAACAAUCCAUCUGGCAUAAGAUCAUUCUCUGCGGCAGCACUGCAGAGAACCCGAGGGUUCCACGGCAACCCUUCUGGAUGGGCAGCCUGCAAAGCUCCAGAUUUUCGACAUGCCUGCAUCAUUUGAAAUGCACCAGAGCAGUCUGAUCCAGUACAGUUGUGGACUUGUGGUACAAGUUAAUAGAUACCACUCAUUAUAUUUAUAACAUGUUCUGACAUCAUAAAGGACACAUAAAGUGGAAUGAGAUUAGGUCAGAGUUAAGCUUACAGCUGCUUUCGAAGGUCCGAGGAUGCUGCCAUUCAGGAUCUCCCCCUGAAAGAAGUUGGUGGAGAGGUUCCUACAUUUGUCAGGUAAAGAUUUACAUUAGCAUUCUUGCCAACGGAAAGCUGUAUGAAAUUGUACAGAGAAAGGUAUGAAACAAUGAAGCAGACGGCAAUCCACCAUGUGAGGCCACACCCUGUUCCUUCCCCAAGCUGGUCUUGCUUGCUUGCGGAUCAGAGGUUUGUUCAAAAAAAAAAAGGAACCACAAAACUUACACAAUAGUGCAUAGAUGGUAGAAACAGAAAGAAUGAUUGAGAUCAGGGGCAAGGGGGAGAAGGAUUAAGAGAGGCUUACCUAGGCAUCACCGACGGAGCUGCCACCUCGACCCGCUCCCCCGUCCGCCCGCAGCAGCAACAGCAGACCGAGCGGAUCCCUGCACCGCCGCCUCAGCCCGUCGCCUUGAAGCAUCGCCUGCCCCAGCGCCGUCGCUAGGAGAUGCCGCUCCCACGUUCUCCUCCGGCCAGAUGCGUUGUCACAUCCCGCUCUAACCACCUAAUCCACCAGCGUGGGCACUUGCGACGACGGUGGCGAGGAGAGGGUGCGUCAGGAGGAGAGAUUGGGGUGGCGGUGGCGGCGGCGGCGGCUAGAGAGGAUGAACGGGGGAGCGAUAGAUGGCGGCGAGGAAGGGCUAGGGUUGUGCCUCUUAUUCCUCUCCUUCCAAAAGGCUAUGCGCACGGGGCUGACCAGCGCAAGAAAACAAGAUAUACUACAGGAACGAUAAAGAACAAGCGAACACUGUCAAAUAUUAGCGUUAGGCCCAUCAGUCAUUCACCUUCCAGUAAAAAUCGGAAGUCAAUACUGUAAAAAUAAAUGAACGGUAAAAAGGGCAUACAGCUCAGCCAAGCGUGGGAAUCGGGCGGACCAAAAGCAACAGCGACGGCAAGUGCCUCUUAUGGGCGGGUUGCCUAGCCUUGUUUAUAUGUUCGAUGCGGUCCAUUGCUUGAUAUCCUUCUUCGAACUUCUCACCGGAAGAGAAUAAUAAAUGUAAGAGCAACCUCAGGUCUUAAGCAAAGUCGCCAAAAGCAUUUGAACUCUAUAAUAACUGCCAAUAUUGAAGUGGGAUGCUAAAAAGACCACCCCUCUUUUUGGAGCGUUGUUCACUUCUUAGCACGCAUUUUUGGAGCUCGCUCUAAAUUUAGUUCCCAGUACGGGUGCCGGGUGGGAAGUUUCAGCUUCUUCCUCCUCGAGUAAGAUUGGAGUAGCUCAGUCUCACAUGCACCACCGCCGACGAGCACCGGGCCAUUAAUGCCACAGUAGCCCCCUUCGAUUCCCAUGGCGACCCAUUGGGUGGCCACCACACAGCAUCAUCUUCUUGUUUGCAUGCGAGUAAGCCGUGGCAUUGUUUCUCAUCAGGUAUUGUGCCAGUCGUCUUAAUGGUGCCUAUAAAAGGCCGACACCCUCCCACCCUAGCUUCAAUACUCUCUCUGACUCCUCUCAUUUCCCUCUCUCCCGCCUUCAAUCCACCAAUGCUUCCUUACCGAUGACGCACCCGAAUGAGCUCCCCUUCAUAUUUUAUUUGGGGAUGAGGUGGAGAAGAAGCGAGAUCCCCUUGCCGAACAUUGGGCCGACUUCGACGUGGCCAAAGAGGCGUGGUGGCAAGAGGAGGUGGGAGGGGAGAGGCGGAUUUGAGACAACGCGCUUGCACAUAGUGCCGUAGACGCUGAUGACUUGCCGGUCCGUUUAAGUCGAAACGGACAAAGUUCACGGUCCAACACGCGAGAGCAACCGCAAAUUAUGUCCGGCUCGACUCAAAUCCGGCGCAAUUGUGGGACGGAUUUGCAUCCAGAUUGACACUGGACGGACGCGCACACGUCCUCUCGUCAUUCGCCAUCGGACCCGCAUGUCAACCGUGCAACUGCUUGCGUCGGCCCAUUUAAUGCGCACGGGUGGUCGGACCAGCACGUCGGCCUCCCAGCCGCCCUCUAACCCGUCCUUUUUUAAUGCUGAAAUCGUGGACCGGCCAGUCCACUUCCAACCGCGUCCACACACUGCCACUGCCCCCUCACACCCCGACAAUCGCAAACCUAGCGCCCCUCGCUCCUCCUUCCUCGCUCCCCGUAGGCCGUCGGCAUGGGGAUGCGGAAGUGGAUCCCCGACAAGAAGGGGAAGCACGACCACAAAGCGAGGUCCUCCUUUGUGUCCUCAAGGAGCGUCGCCCGCCUACUCCACCUCGCCACCCUCCUUCUUCAUUUCCCCGCGGACGACCUUGCUGCGCAUGCGGCCCUACAUCAUGGUCGACUUUGCCAGCGCUACUGGGACCACAACCACGCAGCGACGUGAUACGCCUUUGAUACGUUGAUUUUGCAUCAUGUUUAUGUUGAUAUUUAUUGCAUUACAGACUGUUAUUUCACUUUAUAAUACAAUUCUUUUGCAUUUUCUCUCUUACUUUGCAAGUUUCACAUGAAGAAGGAGAUUGCCGACAACUGGAAUUCUAGACCGGAAAUGGCUAUAUCGGAGGCACUUUUUCUGAACAACUCCAAGUGAGCUGAAAAUUGACAGAGAAUUAUUUUGAAAUAUAUUAAAAUUAUUGGCGAAAGAAAUACCAGAGGGGGACCCACCAGGCAGCCACAAGCCUAGGGGCGCGCCCUACCCCCUGGGCGCGCCCCUGGCAGGCCUCCGGGGCCCAUCUUCUCCUAUAUGGUGCCAUUUGACCUAGAAAAAAAA
rnacentral:lncRNA from 1 species